GAACGCGAAAGUGUAGCAAUACAUGAGUAAAGUGGCGCACGGGUGAGUAACGCGUAGGUGAUCUACCUCUGCGAUCGGGAUAACCAGCCGAAAGGUUGGCUAAUACCGGAUAGAGCGCAUGGGACGUAAAGUUUCGUGCGGGAAAUGAGGGCGUAGGCACUGAGUGAUUGAGGCGAUCAAUCAUUGAGUGCUUACGCUCUUGCGCUGAGAUGAGCCUGCGUCUCAUUAGCUAGUUGGUAGGGUAAUGGCCUACCAAGGCAUUGAUGGGUAGCUGGUCUGAGAGGACGAUCAGCCACACUGGAACUGAAACACGGUCCAGACUCCUACGGGAGGCAGCAGUGGGGAAUCUUGCGCAAUGGACGAAAGUCUGACGCAGCGACGCCGCGUGGGUGAAGAAGGCCUUCGGGUUGUAAAGCCCUGUCGAGUGGGAAAAAUGGUCAUUGGAAUAAUACGUCAGUGAAUUGAUUGUACCACUAGAGGAAGCGCCGGCUAACUCCGUG
rnacentral:rRNA from 1 species